rnacentral:rRNA from 1 species
AUGAACGCUAGUAGUAUGCUUAACACAUGCAAGUUUAACGGAAACAUUGUUUUCGUAGCGUACGGGUGAGUAUUCGCAGAAUUUUUCCUUUCAGUUCAGAACAAAAACUUACUUGUUUAAGUUUAAAUACUGAAUAUUUUAAAGGUUCAUUCCGCUGAAAGAUAAAUCUGCAUAAGAUUAGGUUGUUGGUGAAUUAAAAGCUCACCAAGCCCACGAUCUUUAGUUGGUCUUAGAGGAUGAUCAACCACACUGGAACUGAAACAAGGUCCAGGCUAAUUCGUUGGCCAGCAGUGAGGAAUAUUGGAGUCAAUGAACGAAAGUUUGAUCCAGC